rnacentral:misc_RNA from 1 species
AACAAUAAUGCAUCCAUACAGGAACAAACACUUCACAACUUGGACCUUCGCCUAAGCUGUGAAAGCAGUAGUAGGGCCACUAAGGCGACAAUUGACACUGACAUUCCUUCUGCACUUGCACUAAGUAGUAGCAUCCAACCUACGGAUCGGACUUUGCGGUGUGCGAUCUGCAUAGAACCACUGGUUGAAGAAACGACAACAAAAUGUGGGCACGUUUUCUGCAGGAAUUGCAUCGAAACGGCCAUAGCUACCCAGCAUAGAUGUCCCAUAUGUCGGCGUAAGCUUAGAAAACGAGAUAUUAUCCGGAUUUACCUUCCUUUUUCAAGUUAAAAACAAAAAAUGGAUA